AAGCCAAGGGGGGGGGCACUGAGACUGAUAACUUUUGUAGUGCUCCCAUGCUUCACAGAGUGUUUCACCAUUCUUCUGAGUGAAUCCAGAAAUCUCGUUGCGCAGUUC
rfam:Capsella rubella cultivar Monte Gargano unplaced genomic scaffold scaffold_12, whole genome shotgun sequence.